rnacentral:rRNA from 1 species
UCCCUUCGGGGUGAAGAUGAAAUGGAUUAGCGGCGGACGGGUGAGUAACACGUGAGUAACCUGCCUUAGACAUUGGGAUAGCCUCGGGAAACCGGGAUUAAUACCAAAUGAAAUCACAUAUGCACAUGCAUAAAUGAUCAAAGCUCCGGCGGUCUAAGAUGGACUCGCGUCCCAUUAGCUAGUUGGUGAGGUAACGGCCCACCAAGGCGACGAUGGGUAGCCGGCCUGAGAGGGUGAACGGCCACAUUGGAACUGAGAAACGGUCCAAACUCCUACGGGAGGCAGCAGUGGGGAAUAUUGCACAAUGGAGGGAACUCUGAUGCAGCGACGCCGCGUGAACGAAGAAGGCUUUCGAGUCGUAAAGUUCUUUUAUAUGGGAAGAUAAUGACGGUACCAUAAGAAAAAGCCCCGGCUAACUACGUGCCAGCAGCCGCGGUAAUACGUAGGGGGCUAGCGUUGUCCGGAAUCACUGGGCGUAAAGGGUUCGCAGGCGGAAAUGCAAGUCAGGUGUAAAAGGCAGUAGCUUAACUACUGUAAGCAUUUGAAACUGCAUAUCUUGAGAAGAGUAGAGGUAAGUGGAAUUUUUAGUGUAGCGGUGAAAUGCGUAGAUAUUAAAAAGAAUACCGGUGGCGAAGGCGACUUACUGGGCUCAUUCUGACGCUGAGGAACGAAAGCGUGGGUAGCAAACAGGAUUAGAUACCCUGGUAGUCCACGCUGUAAACGAUGAGUGCUAGGUAUCGGAAUAAUUCGGUGCCGCAGUUAACACAUUAAGCACUCCGCCUGGGGAGUACGUGCGCAAG